rnacentral:rRNA from 1 species
GGCGUAGGCGGCCUGUCAAGUCGGAUGUGAAAUCUCCCGGCUUAACUGGGAGGGUGCAUCGGAAACUGGCAGGCUAGAGUGCAGCAGAGGAAAGUGGAAUUCCCGGUGUAGUGGUGAAAUGCGUAGAUAUCGGGAGGAACACUAGUGGCGAAGGCGGCUUUCUGGGCUGUUACUGACGCUGAGGUCCGAAGGCGUGGGGAGCAAACA